AGUGAACGCUGGCGGUAGACCUAACACAUGCAAGUCGAACGGCAGCACAGUAAGAGCUUGCUCUUACGGGUGGCGAGUGGCGGACGGGUGAGGAAUACAUCGGAAUCUACUUUUUCGUGGGGGAUAACGUAGGGAAACUUACGCUAAUACCGCAUACGACCUACGGGUGAAAGCAGGGGAUCUUCGGACCUUGCGCGAUUGAAUGAGCCGAUGUCGGAUUAGCUAGUUGGCGGGGUAAAGGCCCACCAAGGCGACGAUCCGUAGCUGGUCUGAGAGGAUGAUCAGCCACACUGGAACUGAGACACGGUCCAGACUCCUACGGGAGGCAGCAGUGGGGAAUAUUGGACAAUGGGCGCAAGCCUGAUCCAGCCAUACCGCGUGGGUGAAGAAGGCCUUCGGGUUGUAAAGCCCUUUUGUUGGGAAAGAAAAGUAGCAGGUUAAUACCCCGCUGUUCUGACGGUACCCAAAGAAUAAGCACCGGCUAACUUCGUG
rnacentral:rRNA from 1 species